UCCAAACCGUUGUUUCUCGGAAUCUAAAACUCCUAAAAAGACCCUUUUACACAAUAUAAGUGGUAUCUCCUGUUAUUUUUUUCAAAAAUGACAAAACUGCUCAGCUAUAUAAGGUCCAAAACACCUCCAAACCGGCCACGUGAAAACGGAAGAAAUACCCUACUCACAGACGACAUGACGAUGAGGCUGCAUUGCCUGAUAGUGAUCCUGCUUCUCUGCGGCAGCAGCAUCGUUCGUCCAAACCAUGCUGCGGGCGGUACUUCCACCGGCUGUAAGUUCCAGCAGAUCAUUACUUAAUUAUAAACUCAGCUCGUUGUUUCAAGUGUUUAAUGAAAUAUUCGAUCAAACGACUGAUGUAACACUUAUUUCUAGAAACUGUUUGCUUAUUAUAUAGACGCAACCUACUGAUUGUCAGUACCUCCUAGAACUAGAUAUACCAACAUGUAGAUGCGCUAAUUAUGUAUUUCAAGAUGUUCUAAAACCGAAGAAUAUUUCAGCUAAACCGUUCGAUGUGACCCUAGAGUCGGAUACCAAGAAUGUUCAUCCAAACACGGGCCGGGUUCAAUUUUUCAUAUUCGAAUUUCCCACCAGAAAACCUAUCCACAAAUUAAUCCCCUGAGCCAAAC
rnacentral:lncRNA from 1 species